rnacentral:lncRNA from 1 species
UUGCCAUUUAAGAAUACGACCAUCAGCGACGCCAGUGUAGGGGCCGUCUCCAUUGGGAUCGAAAGCAAUGCUCUCAGGACCCAGAGCACCAGUGACUUGGAUGAUCUUGCUACCUUCCAGAUUAUUAUUGGAUCCUUCUAUGCACGGCGCACAGAAGAGGUUUCUCAGAGUAGUAUUUGUUUGGUUGAUUGAUAUAAUUACAGAGACUAUUGCUAUUACUAUUGCCGCAGAUGCUACGAUCUUUUUGUUUCUGUUCAUGGCUGCUUGUGGGCUGUUUCUUCUUAUCUUUACUUGUUAAAGGACAAGAGCUUCGAUUAUGAGGGCGUAUCUCCUCCUCUGGCUCCUAAUAAAUAAAUUUAAAUUGCUUAGAAAUCGGAAGAAUGUCUUUUCCAUAAUCAUUAUUAUUAUUAUUUUCCACGACGACAAUUUAUUUUGCACGAUAGCUCAACAGAUGUUACCGCACCAAUCGAAUGACAGUACAGCGCCAAUAUUCUUUUUAUUAUUAUUAGAAAAAAAAAUAUCGAUCCCUUUAAAAUUUAAAUAAAUGAUUAUAUAGUUCAUGCGUUCAAUAAUACAUAAGACUGAUAGUAAGAACCCUUAGGACAAAGAUAGAUAUAACCUAAAAUUAUCAAAUUAGAGUAAUGCCAAUUCUAAGCCAUUACUUGUGAGUUUUAAUAGCUAAAGAUCCUUUGCAGAUUAGUAGAUUGUAAUAAGUCCAGAACAUGGACCCAGAAAUGAGGCAAGGCCGCUUGGCUAAAGAUUGGUUUGUGUAUAACUUACAAUAGUAUAGUUUUUAAGUUGACAGAAAGCAAUACGAAAACAAGAAUCAUUCUCUGCUAACUUUUUCCCUAGCCAAAAGCAGGCAUCCACAACUACAAGAAAUCAAGAAUCAUUAAGUAAACAGAUUAGGUAACUUGUAGUUUCUUACUAACUUCUAUUAAUUCUCUUACAUCUUAGAAACUACCCAGCAACUUUAAUUACCUCACGCUAUAAUUAACAAAAAUAAAAAAAAUAAAAAAUUCUUAGCUAAAUAUCUAAAGUAGGCAAUCGCAUCAGCAAGUUUAAUGGCGCAAAAGAAAUUAAUAUAUAUGUAUAUUUGGAAACUAGAAUGAGUCAUUAAUUGAAGAGAUGAUAUAUGUAGAUACCGUUGAGAAGUGGUGACAGCAAAUUCAGUCCAACCAAGUUCAUCACCUUGCCAUUUAAGAAUACGACCAUUAGCGACGCCAGUGUAGGGGCCGUCUCCAUUGGGAUCGAAAGCAAUGCUCUCAGGACCCAGAGCUCCAGUGACUUGGAUGAUCCUGCUACCUUCCAGAUUAUUAUUGGAUCCUUCUAUGCACGGCGCACAGAAGAGGUUUCUCAGAGUAGUAUUUGUUUGGUUGAUUGAUAUAAUUACAGAGACUAUUGCUAUUACUAUUGCCGCAGAUGCUACGAUCUUUUUGUUUCUGUUCAUGGCUGCUUGUGGGCUGUUUCUUCUUAUCUUUACUUGUUAAAGGACAAGAG